CCUACGGGGGGCAGCAGUGAGGAAUAUUGGUCAAUGGGCGCGAGCCUGAACCAGCCAAGUCGCGUGAGGGAGGACGGCCCUACGGGUUGUAAACCUCUUUUGCCGGGGAGCAACGGGCGUCACGUGUGGCGCCACUGAGAGUACCCGGAGAAAAAGCAUCGGCUAACUCCGUGCCAGCAGCCGCGGUAAUACGGAGGAUGCGAGCGUUAUCCGGUUUUAUUGGGUUUACAGGGUGCGUAGGCGGAUCGUUACGUCAGUGGUCAAAUUGAGGGGCUCAACCCCUUCCCGCCAUUGAAACUGGCGUUCUUGAGUGGAAGAGAGGUAUGCGGAAUGCGUGGUGUAGCGGUGAAAUGCAUAGAUAUCACGCAGAACACCGAUUGCGAAGGCAGCAUGCCGGCUUCCGACUGACGCUGAAGCACGAAAGCGUGGGGAUCGAACAGGAUUAGAUACCCCGGUAGUC
rnacentral:rRNA from 1 species